rnacentral:rRNA from 1 species
CCUACGGGAGGCUGCAGUGGGGAAUAUUGCACAAUGGGGGAAACCCUGAUGCAGCGACGCCGCGUGAGUGAAGAAGUAAUUCGUUAUGUAAAGCUCUAUCAGCAGGGAAGAAAAUGACGGUACCUGAGUAAGACGCCCCGGCUAACUACGUGCCAGCAGCCGCGGUAAUACGUAGGGGGCAAGCGUUAUCCGGAUUUACUGGGUGUAACGGGAGCGUAGACGGCAGUGCAAGUCUGGAGUGAAAGGCGGGGGCUCAACCCCCGGACUGCUCUGGAAACUGUACGGCUGGAGUGCAGGAGAGGUAAGUGGAAUUCCUAGUGUAGCGGUGAAAUGCGUAGAUAUUAGGAGGAACACCAGUGGCGAAGGCGGCUUACUGGACUGUAACUGACGUUGAGGCUCGAAAGCGUGGGGAGCAAACAGGAUUAGAUACCCGGGUAGUC